ACCGUCGGGCGCUUAUUUCUGGACGCGGCUGUGCCCGCGACUUCCCGCGGGCACCCCGAGGCCCCUCGCAAAGUCUCGCACCAUUCCAAGUCCGGCGGACGAACUUCGCCCGCGCCCCCCACCAAGGCUAUAGCCCACCCGUUUUUUGGCCAUUUUUCCGCUGGGGGGUUUUGGCACCACGACCUUCGGGCGCUUAUUUUUGGGCGCGGCUUUGCCCGCGGCUUAUUUUUGGCGCCCCGAGGCCCCGCACAAAGUCUCGCCCCAUUCCGAGUCCGGCGGACGAACUUCGCCCGCGCCCCCCACCAAGGCUAUAGCCCACCCGUUUUUUGGCCAUUUUUCCGCUGGGGGGUUUUGGCACCACGACCUUCGGGCGCUUAUUUCUGGCCGCGGCUGUGCCCGCGACUUCCCUCGGGCACCCGAGGCCCCUCGAAAGUCUCGCCCCAUUCCCAGUCCGGCGGACGAACUUUGCCCGCGCCCCCCACCAAGGCUAUAGCCCACCCGUUUUUUGGCCAUUUUUCCGCUGGGGGGUUUUGGCACCACGACCUUCGGGCGCUUAUUUUUGGGCGCGGCUGUGCCCACAACUUCCCGCGGGCACCCCGAGGCCCCUCGCAAAGUCUCGCCCCAUUCCGAGUCCGGCGGACGAACUUCGCCUGCGCCCCCCACCAAGGCUAUAGCCCACCCGUUUUUUGGCCAUUUUUCCGCUGGGGGGUUUUGGCACCACGACCUUCGGGCGCUUAUUUUUGGGCGCGGCUUUGCCCGCGGCUUAUUUUUGGUGCCCCGAGGCCCCUUGCAAAGUCUCGAACCAUUCCGACUCCGGCGGACGAACUUCGUCCGCGCCCCCCACCAAGGCUAUAGCCCACCCGUUUUUUGGCCAUUUUUCCGCUGGGGGGUUU
rnacentral:lncRNA from 1 species